CCGCCCGUCACACCAUGGGAGUUUGUUGCACCAGAAGCAGGUAGCCUAACCGCAAGGGGGGCGCUUGCCACGGUGUGGCCGAUGACUGGGGUG
rnacentral:rRNA from 1 species